AGCAAUGUGUCUCCAUUAAUCUGAAAAUUCUUCACUGAGCUGACAGUUGGAUCAAAGCCUAUGAGUGACCUGGUGCCCCGAAGCUGAUGCAGGAAAGGCUGCAGCACAUUACUGAGUCGGGUGUUGUCUACUCAGAAGCAUUCCGUAUUCCAACGCGGCAGUUAGAAACUCUUUGAAGUCUGUCUUAGCCGUCUGUUCGUCUUUUAAAUUGUCAAUAAUAUUAACACAACAAUCAACACACA
ensembl:lincRNA Gm20714 uncharacterized LOC110295895